rnacentral:rRNA from 1 species
UGUAGCGGUGAAAUGCGUAGAGAUGUGGAGGAACACCAGUGGCGAAGGCGGCCCCCUGGACAAAGACUGACGCUCAGUGUGCGAAAGCGUAGGGAGCAAACAGGAUUAGAUACCCUGGUAGUCCACGCCGUAAACGAUGUCGACUUGGAGGUUGUGCCCUUGAGGCGUGGCUUCCGGAGCUAACGCGUUAAGUCGACCGCCUGGGGAGUACGGCCGCAAGGUUAAAACUCAAAUGAAUUGACGGGGGCCCGCACAAGCGGUGGAGCAUGUGGUUUAAUUCGAUGCAACGCGAAGAACCUUACCUACUCUUGACAUCCAGAGAACUUAGCAGAGAUGCUUUGGUGCCUUCGGGAACUCUGAGACAGGUGCUGCAUGGCUGUCGUCAGCUCGUGUUGUGAAAUGUUGGGUUAAGUCCCGCAACGAGCGCAACCCUUAUCCUUUGUUGCCAGCAGGUAGGCCGGGAACUCAAGGAGACUGCCAGUGAUAAACUGUAGAAGGUGGGGAUGACGUCAAGUCAUCAUGGCCUUACGAGUAUGGCUACUCGCCUGCUCAAUGGCGCAGCAAUGAGAGAGACUCGUGAGAGGAAGCGUACUCGUAAGUGCGU